rnacentral:rRNA from 1 species
GACGAACGCUGGCGGCGUGCCUAAUACAUGCUAGUAGAACGCUGAAAGGAGGAUCUUGCGCUUCUUGGAGGAGUUGCGAACGGGUGAGUAACGCGUAGGUAACCUGCCUUGGAGCGUGGGAUAACUAUUGGAAACGAUAGCUAAUACCGCAUAACAAUGGAUGACCCAUGUCAUUUAUUUGAAAGGGGCAAAUGCUCCACUACAAGAUGGACCUGCGUUGUAUUAGCUAGUAGGUGAGGUAACGGCUCACCUAGGCGACGAUACAUAGCCGACCUGAGAGGGUGAUCGGCCACACUGGGACUGAGACACGGCCCAGACUCCUACGGGAGGCAGCAGUCGCGAACCUCCGGCAAUGGGGGCAACCCUGAACGAGCCCCGACGCGUGAGUGCAGAAGGUUGUCGGAUCGUAAAGCUCUGUUGUAAGUCAAGACCGAGUGUGAGAGUGGAAAGUUCACAAUGUGACGGCAGCUCAGCAGAAAGGGACGGCUAACUACGUG